rnacentral:rRNA from 1 species
AGAGUUUGAUCCUGGCUCAGAUUGAACGCUGGCGGCAUGCCUUACACAUGCAAGUCGAACGGUAACGCGGGGCAACCUGGCGACGAGUGGCGAACGGGUGAGUAAUACAUCGGAACGUGUCCAGUAGUGGGGGAUAGCCCGGCGAAAGCCGGAUUAAUACCGCAUACGACCUACGGGUGAAAGCGGGGGAUCGCAAGACCUCGCGCUAUUGGAGCGGCCGAUGUCAGAUUAGCUAGUUGGUGGGGUAAAAGCCUACCAAGGCGACGAUCUGUAGCUGGUCUGAGAGGACGACCAGCCACACUGGGACUGAGACACGGCCCAGACUCCUACGGGAGGCAGCAGUGGGGAAUUUUGGACAAUGGGCGCAAGCCUGAUCCAGCCAUGCCGCGUGCGGGAAGAAGGCCUUCGGGUUGUAAACCGCUUUUGUCAGGGAAGAAACGCUCCGGGCCAAUACCCCGGAGUAAUGACGGUACCUGAAGAAUAAGCACCGGCUAACUACGUGCCAGCAGCCGCGGUAAUACGUAGGGUGCAAGCGUUAAUCGGAAUUACUGGGCGUAAAGCGUGCGCAGGCGGCUUUGCAAGACAGAUGUGAAAUCCCCGGGCUUAACCUGGGAACUGCAUUUGUGACUGCAUGGCUGGAGUGCGGCAGAGGGGGAUGGAAUUCCGCGUGUAGCAGUGAAAUGCGUAGAUAUGCGGAGGAACACCGAUGGCGAAGGCAAU